CGGAUUGAAGAGUACUUAAACGACAGUACAUCACAUACUCCCAUCAUUGAAGAAGAUGAUAAUUCAGGCAUCAUAGAGGAACCGAAAAUUGAGAGUCUCUCAGAAUUGUUUAGAAGGACUUGAGUAAGUUUUCAUAUUAACUCCAGUUAUUUUUUUCAUGGCCUAAAGUGGCAUCUUCUGCCUGAAAGUACACCUUUCAAAUUAAUUAAAUCUAAACACUCAGCUUAUUACAUAUAUGUUUUAUAAAGAAG
rnacentral:misc_RNA from 1 species